UAGGGAAUCUUCGGCAAUGGGGGCAACCCUGACCGAGCAACGCCGCGUGAGUGAAGAAGGUUUUCGGAUCGUAAAGCUCUGUUGUAAGAGAAGAACGUGUGUGAGAGUGGAAAGUUCACACAGUGACGGUAACUUACCAGAAAGGGACGGCUAACUACGUGCCAGCAGCCGCGGUAAUACGUAGGUCCCGAGCGUUGUCCGGAGUUAUUGGGCGUAAAGCGAGCGCAGGCGGUUUAAUAAGUCUGAAGUUAAAGGCAGUGGCUUAACCAUUGUUCGCUUUGGAAACUGUUGAGCUUGAGUGCAGAAGGGGAGAGUGGAAUUCCAUGUGUAGCGGUGAAAUGCGUAGAUAUAUGGAGGAACACCGGUGGCGAAAGCGGCUCUCUGGUCUGUAACUGACGCUGAGGCUCGAAAGCGUGGGGAGCAAACAGG
rnacentral:rRNA from 1 species